rnacentral:rRNA from 1 species
GAUGAACGCUGGCGGCGUGCCUAAUACAUGCAAGUCGAGCGAACAGAUAAGGAGCUUGCUCCUUUGACGUUAGCGGCGGACGGGUGAGUAACACGUGGGUAACCUAUCUAUAAGACUGGAAUAACUCCGGGAAACCGGGGCUAACGCCGGAUAACAUGUUGAACCGCAUGGUUCUACAGUGAAAGGCGGCUUUGCUGUCACUUAUAGAUGGACCCGCGCCGUAUUAGCUAGUUGGUGAGGUAACGGCUCACCAAGGCAACGAUACGUAGCCGACCUGAGAGGGUGAUCGGCCACACUGGAACUGAGACACGGUCCAGACUCCUACGGGAGGCAGCAGUAGGGAAUCUUCCGCAAUGGGCGAAAGCCUGACGGAGCAACGCCGCGUGAGUGAUGAAGGUCUUCGGAUCGUAAAACUCUGUUAUUAGGGAAGAACAAAUGCGUAAGUAACUGUGCGCGUCUUGACGGUACCUAAUCAGAAAGCCACGGCUAACUACGUG